rnacentral:rRNA from 1 species
UACGUAGGGGGCAAGCGUUGUCCGGAAUCAUUGGGCGUAAAGAGCGUGUAGGCGGCCCGGUAAGUCCGCUGUGAAAGUCCAGGACUCAACCCUGGGAUGCCGGUGGAUACUGCUGGGCUAGAGUACGGAAGAGGCGAGUGGAAUUCCCGGUGUAGCGGUGAAAUGCGCAGAUAUCGGGAGGAACACCAAUUGCGAAGGCAGCUCGCUGGGACGUCACUGACGCUGAGACGCGAAAGCGUGGGGAGCAAACAGG